rnacentral:tRNA from 1 species
GGAUCCUUAGCUCAGCGGUAGAGCGCUGCAUUCACAUUGCAGAAGUCAGUGGUUCGAAUCCACUAGGGUCCA